AAGGAUCAUUACCGAACCGUCGACACGAGUUGUUGCUGGUCCUCGAAAGGGGGCACGUGCACGCUCUGUUUACACAUCCACUCACACCUGUGCACCCUCUGUAGUUCUAUGGCCUGGGGACUCUGUCCCCUCGCUGUGGUCCUACGUCUUUACACACACACCGUAACGAAGUCUCAUGGAAUGCAUAUCGCGUUUAACGCAAUACAAUACAACUUUCAGCAACGGAUCUCUUGGCUCUC
rnacentral:misc_RNA from 1 species